UGGUUUGAAGGUUUGAACAGGGCUGGCAAGGGAACAUGAUCUCUCUCUCUCUCUCUCUCUCUCUCUCUCUCUCUCUCUCUCUCUCUCUCUCACACACACACACACACACACACACACACACACACACACACACACACAACCUCUAGCCUUGGGAAAGCACAGCCCACCUGCUAAGCAAGCAGGCUGCGGGAGUUUCCUUGGCAAAGAAUCCUGUCUGCUGCUUCCAAAUGCAGUCUCCAGAAGGUCACUUCACUCAGAUACAGAACAGCUUCCUUUGGUCUCUGUGACAAAGUUUGUGGGGAUUCAGUGCGGUCCUCCCCUGGGGUGCUUCUACACUCCCACCCCUACUCUGGGUGCCUGUGGCACACAGCUGGUCUGCCCGCAGCACCCCGCCUUACCUUAGUGAGCUGAGCGAUCUUCUUGCACAUUUUCACGUGCAUCUCCGGAUCACAGUCCAUUCUCCAGCCCGAGCCACCGCGGGCGUCGGCUUUGGAGCUCGCGCAGGUUCCUGGCGGGUGAAUUUUGCUGUUGAGGGCAGAUGCCAUCGCUUUAAGGAGCCCUGCACUGAAAUGCUCUGUCUCGCGCGCUCUCACCGCUGGCCGUGUGCACGUGCGUUCGAGCACGGGCGUGAGAGCUUUCUCCAAAGAGGUGGCACUGCAGUCCUGCCAGCACAGCCGCGUGGCUCUCUUUCCGGAGGUGUCUCCUUCCCGGGCCCACUCGCGCACCACCUUCCUCUGCUCGUGCUCGUUCGCGAGCUAGCUGGCUCACGGGCACCCGCACCAUGCAGCGAAGCGCUGGCGCCUUGCACGUGAGGUUUACCAUCUGCGGAUGCUUCCGAGAGGAUUCAAAUUAACGGAACUCUCCAACACCCAAAGGGGGAACAGACCUGAAGUAUUGUUUGUAAUAAAUGCUUCUCACUAAAUAGAAAAGCAAAUUUCUCAUAAUUCUACUCCAAAAGGGUGAAACACAUGUUUUUGAUAGACAUACAACUGUGACAAAUAACUUAGCCUUCUUUUAAAGAAAGGUAACAUUCUGUAUAUGAACUGUAAAACCUUUAACAUAAAAUUUUAUUGAGGCAAGAAUUCUUACCUGUUUCACGUACUGCCAAAGUCCCAGUGAUUAGAAUAGUGUUUAGCAGGCCACUAUUAGGUUCUUAAACAUUUAUCGAAUGACUAAAAGAAUGAAUAUUCUUCUACAAGAAGUGGUAUUUUCAAUAGUAGUAUGUGAAUCAUAUAGAUUAUGAUUAAUAAUCAUAUAAAUGUGCUUAAUAUAAUCAUGGAAAUAUAAGUUAAAACCAAAUUAAGAUGCUACUACACCACUUAGAAUGUAUAAAAUAAAAAGAAAAUGUUUACCAGAAUGUGUAAAAUAAUGAGCAAAAUAUAAAGCGUUUACAAAGAUAUAUGCUAAAAUGAAGUUUUGUGUGUUACUUACUAGUAGAAGAGUAAAAUGAUACAAUCACUUUGGAAAGUGUAUGGCAGUUUUACUACAACUAAAGCACACAUCACUUAUGACGUCAGUUUGACGCCUCGGUUUAAGACAAGAGGAAUGAGUGUGCGCAUGCACAAAGACAUAGAAUGUUUAGGACAACUUUAUUUGUAAUAACUCAAACUUGUAAGAACUCCAGUGCCAACAAUGGGUAAAAGGUAAAUGAAUUGUGGUAAUUCAUAUGAUACAUUACAGUAAUAAUGUUGAAGUAGAAUGUGGAAGGAAGAAGGUGACUAUAAUGUAUCACAUAAUGUAUGAUCCCAUUCACAUGAAGUUUGAGGAAAACCAGGACUAACUUACCUUUAUAAAAGUAGCUAUUUUGGAAUUUUGUGGAAUCAGAAAUUUUUGUGCUGUAUUCUGAGUGUAUGUAUCUUGAUAUAAUCUUAACAUUAUAAAUUUGUGAAGAAACACCAAGAAUUAAGACGUGGUUUAUGAAAACCCACUUUUCACUUCCUGCCAGCAAGGCAAGAGUGCCUUUGGUAAAUUUAUCAUUUGAAAAUAUUAUUAUUUUGUAUUUUUCAUUUUUCAUUCCUGAUCAAGUGAAAGGCAUUUGUUAAUCUUUAUAGGUUCAUUUGGACUGAAUGAUCAAGCUAUCUGAUUCUCCUUAUUCAGGAGGUCGCUCCUAUUUGAAUCUCAUCUUUAUUAAUCUUGAUAGUAUGCAUAGCUUUUUUUUCUCCUGUGGAAAUAGAGACAAAAUUUUUUCCCCCAAUGUAACACAAUUCCAGUUUUCUGUUUUAAGAAUUAUACACUAUGUGAUAUAUACAUCAACAUAUCUCUAAAUUAUACAGGCUGGUUUAAUUCAGCAGGAUUUUUUUCCUAUUAUUCAAUGUCUCUCCAUAGUUGUUGUAUGGCACACAUAUCUUAUCUUUCCAAAGUCUGGGAAAUGAAAUAUAUCCACUCACCAAAUUUCAUUUCUUUAGGUACCUGUGGAACUUUCAAUAUGUUUGGUCCAGGGCACUAUUAGAUGUUGCCCUGUUAGAAGAAAUGUGCCACUGUUGGGGUGGGCUUUGAGACCCCUCUCCUAGCUGCCUGGAAUACAGUCUGCUCCUUACUUCUUUUGGAUGAAGAUGUCGAACUCUCAGCUCCUCCAAUGUCAUGCCUGCCUGGAUGCAGCCAUCCUUCCUGUCAUGAUGAUAAUGGACUGAAUCACAGAACCUGUAAGCCUGCAUCAAGUCUGCAGGAUUAGGCACAUCCUCUCCCACUGAGGCUAGAUGUGGCAGCCCUCUGCUACAUAUGCGUCAGGGGCCUUGAACCAGGCCCUGUAUGCUUUUUGGAUGGUGGAUCAGUCUCUAGAAGCUCCCAGAGGUCCAGGUUAUUUGCUUUGUGGAUGAGUUUUCCAAAACUGACAGGGAAUGGAAUGCCUGAAUCCAAUUUAAUAUGGACAGGAGGGCCCCUAGGGCUUUUCCCAAUAGAAAAUAUUACCUUGCCUGUCUUUUGUUCAUCUGCAUUCAUUAGUCCAAUGUAGGCCUUUGCCAUGCCUUCUGCAUACUCCAGAAAGCUGGGGCCUUCUUUUUGGAUUAUCUCUAUG
ensembl:antisense 9630001P10Rik RIKEN cDNA 9630001P10 gene